CUGGCGGCGUGGAUAAGGCAUGCAAGUCGAACGAUCAACUUUUUCGCAAGAAAAAGUUGAGAGUGGCGGACGGGUUAGUAACACGUAGAUACAAACCUCAAUCACGGGUAUAAUCUGCCGAAAGGUAGACUAAUUCCCGAUGAUCCCUGGGAGCAAUCUUAAGGGUAAAGGAGCAAUCCGGUUUGAGAUUGGUCUGCGGCUUAUCAGCUAGUUGGUAGGGUAAUGGCCUACCAAGGCUAUGACGAGUAGGCGGAGCGAGAGCUUGAUCGCCAACAAGGGCACUGCGACACGGGCCCUACUUCUACGGAAGGCAGCAGUCGAGAAUAUUCGGCAAUGGGCGAAAGCCUGACCGAGCGACGCCGCGUGCAGGAUGAAGAUCUUCGGAUUGUAAACUGCUUUUUUCUGUGAACAAGUUUUUAUUGAGUGUAGCAGAAGAAUAAGGGAGUGCUAACUCUGUGCCAGCCGCCGCGGUAAUACA
rnacentral:rRNA from 1 species